UACGGGGGGGGCAAGCGUUGUUCGGAAUUACUGGGCGUAAAGGGCUCGUAGGCGGCCAACUAAGUCGGACGUGAAAUCCCCAGGCUCAACCCUGGGAACUGCGUCCGAUACUGGAUGGCUUGAAUCCGGGAGAGGGAUGCAGAAUUCCAGGUGUAGCGGUGAAAUGCGUAGAUAUCUGGAGGAAUACCGGUGGCGAAGGCGGCAUCCUGGACCGGCAUUGACGCUGAGGAGCGAAAGCCAGGGGAGCAAACGGG
rnacentral:rRNA from 1 species